UCACCUUCCGACAGUCUUGAACGUCCGAUUCUAGCUGCACCUUAUUAGUUUCCAUCAGGUCAAGCUGUUUCUGAAUCUUUCCGAGUUUCUCUAUGUGCCUCAACAUUUCCUUCUUUGCUAUUUGAAACUCAUCCGUGGCUUCUUGUAGCUUCGUCCGCUUUGGUGCAACAACCUGUAUGAAAGAGAAGCAAUGAGAAAAGAAGCUUGCAAAUGUGAUCCUUGACGAAACUUGGCCACUUUAUCGUAG
rnacentral:lncRNA from 1 species